AGUUGCUGACACUAGAGAAAAGGCCUCCAGAGAGAGAACAAGUCUGUACACCAGUGUUUUCUACCAGUGAUUCACCAGUGACCGGAGAUCAGUGCACAAUCACGUCUGUGCUUUCAGGGUUUUUUGUUUUAGCUAGAGAUGAGUGGGUUCAGUUUUAUUCGGUUUUACUCGGAUUUACUCGGUUCUUAAAAUGCCAUCUUAUUGGCUCACGGAUGUCACAUGUUUUGUAUAACCAAUAGAAAAAAUCCGGAUAAAACCGAACUGGCGUUUAUUCUGCCAUUAAAUCCGAACCUGCUCAUCUCUAGUUUUAGCACCUUUCACUUUAUUUUUGCACUAGAUCAUCAGCUACAAUGAGCCGGAGGGAAUUAACCCAGCUACUUGGAAAUGAAGAUCAGAACAUCACAUGGCUGAGAUCGGGACGCCUCCACAAACUGCAGGAGGAUCAUCUUCAGAUGGCACAACAGCAACCGGAUCAAAAUCAAAAGGACCAAUGCCAGCACAACCAACAUCAGGAGUACCAACAGCAGCAGGACCAACAUUAGUAGGAGCAGCAAAUGGACUGAGUGCCAGCCAGUAUGCAAUCAUUGCACGGGGCUUAGAACUCAUUAUACUGGACAGCAUCAGUAGAGCCAUUAUUGCCCGUCUUCCAUACCUACUCUGCAGAGACCAUUACCACCUCGACAAGCCAAGAAUUGCUUUAUCUACUCUGGCACUGAACCAAUAUGUUUUGGAACUAGAAAGAUGGCCGAAAAGGAACUUCCGGU